GAUGAACGCUGGCGGCGUGCCUAAUACAUGCAAGUCGAGCGAACAGACCAGGAUUUUGCUCCUCCGACGUUAGCGGCGGAGGGGUGAGUAACACGUGGAUAACCUACCUAUCAGACUGGGAUAACUUCGGGAAACCGGAGCUAAUACCGGAUAAUAUAUUGACCCUCGUGGUUCAUUAGUGAAAUACGGUUUUGCUGUCAGUUAUAGAUGGUUACGCGCCGCAUUAGCUAGUUGUUAUGGUAACGGCUUACCAAGGCAACGAUGCGUAGCCGACCUCAGAGAGGGGUCGGCCACACGGGAAGGGAGACAGGGAACAGACGCCUGCGAGAGGCAGCAGAAGAGAAUCUGCCGCAAUGGGGGAGAGGCUGACAGAGCAACCCGGCGUGAGUGAUGACAAUGUUCGGAUCGGGAAGCUCGGUUAUGAGUGGAGAACAAAUGUGUAAGUAACUGUGCACGUAUUGACGGUACCGGGUCAAAAAGCCACGGCUAACUACGUG
rnacentral:rRNA from 1 species